rnacentral:rRNA from 1 species
UACGAAGGGGGGCUAGCGUUGCUCGGAAUCACUGGGCGUAAAGGGUGCGUAGGCGGGUCUUUAAGUCAGGGGUGAAAUCCUGGAGCUCAACUCCAGAACUGCCUUUGAUACUGAAGAUCUUGAGUUCGGGGAGAGGUGAGUGGAACUGCGAGUGUAGAGGUUGAAAAUUCGUAGAUAUUCGCAAGAAACACCAGUGGCGAAAGGCGGCUCACUGGCCCGAUACUGACGCUGAGGCACGAAAAGCGUGGGGGAGCAAACAGG